GUUUGGAUCCAGAAGCUAAAGCAA
rnacentral:miRNA from 1 species